AUGUGGUUUAAUUCGAAGCAACGCGCAGAACCUUACCAGCCCUUGACAUCCCGGUCGCGAAAAGUAGAGAUACUUUUUUUCAGUUAGGCUGGACCGGUGACAGGUGCUGCAUGGCUGUCGUCAGCUCGUGUCGUGAGAUGUUGGGUUAAGUCCCGCAACGAGCGCAACCCUCGCCUUUAGUUGCCAUCAUUAAGUUGGGCACUCUAGAGGGACUGCCGGUGAUAAGCCGGAGGAAGGUGGGGAUGACGUCAAGUCCUCAUGGCCCUUAUGGGCUGGGCUACACACGUGCUACAAUGGCGCUGACAGAGGGCAGCUAGCUCGCGAGAGUAAGCUAAUCCCAAAAAGGCGCCUCAGUUCAGAUUGCACUCUGCAACUCGAGUGCAUGAAGUCGGAAUCGCUAGUAAUCGUGGAUCAGCAUGCCACGGUGAAUACGUUCCCGGGCCUUGUACACACCGCCCGUG
rnacentral:rRNA from 1 species